rnacentral:rRNA from 1 species
UACGAAGGGGGCUAGCGUUGCUCGGAAUUACUGGGCGUAAAGGGCUCGUAGGUGGCCAACUAAGUCAGACGUGAAAUCCCUCGGCUUAACCGGGGAACUGCGUCUGAUACUGGAUGGCUAGAGUUUGGGAGAGGGAUGCGGAAUUCCCGGUGUAGUGGUGAAAUGCGUAGAUAUCGGGAGGAACACCAGUGGCGAAGGCGACUACCUGGCCUGUUUCUUGACGCUGAGGCGCGAAAGCUAGGGGAGCAAACGGG